UAAUAAUAAUUAAAAAGAUUGCACUGCAGUGCCUGCAGUUCGAAAAAAAUUAUCUUUGUAUGGAAGUCUAUGAGAGCACUCGGGGCGAUUCUCAGUCUGACAGAAAUCGCCCAAAAAGGGGCAGUACUACACAAA